UCUCCCUCAUCCGAUUCUCUCUUCUCCUGUGGCCUCCUGCGCACGCCAGCUCCUUCGUCUCUCUCUCUUUCUUCGUGCGACGCCUUCAGCUUCUUCUCCAUGAUCAUUUCCCACCAUCUUCGGUCUUCCUUCUCAUUUCUUUUUCAUUUCACGUUUACUUCUCCACUCACCGAAUCACCCCACCAUUUGCCAUCUUCCUCGUGAAAUUCUCCUCGCACCAAAGCCCACGCGUCCGAAGCUCCAUUUGCUUCGGUCAAAACCCCAAUCGAAGGCCAAAGCCCAUGCUUCCUUCAUUCUGGUUUUGCUUUCCUUUCCCUUACAGCAACCCACCGAAUUCUUCUCUGCCGAUUUGCCAACGCUAGCUUCGCUCAGUCCUCCAAGACCGAAGCCAGCCGCGGCUUCCAACGAACUCAGCCGAGUUCGUGAGUUUCUUUUUGUGGUUUUUCAGUCAGUCCGAACUCCUGUUGGCCUCGCCGUGAGUUCGAGUCUCGGCCGCCGUUGCGCCGCCGUCGCCGUGAGCCAAUUUUCGGGCUUAACCGGACCGUAGAGGGAGGACCUGGAGCUAAGCUGAGGUGACCUGAAGAGUAGGUCGGAUAGGACAUCCUCUUUUUGAGAACUGGUCUUUUGGUUAUAGACUUGUGUGAAAGACUCAGUAUGUUUAUAAAGUGUGGUUUGUUUGUUAAUGUGAUGUCCUGCUUUUCUA